CGUGAGCGGCGGACGGGUGAGUAACGCGUGGGUAACCGUGCCUCAUACAGGGGAUAACAGUUGGAAACGGCUGCUAAUACCGCAUAAGCGCACAGUACCGCAUGGUACGGUGUGAAAAACUCCGGUGGUAUGAGAUGGACCCGCGUCUGAUUAGGUAGUUGGUGGGGUAACGGCCUACCAAGCCGACGAUCAGUAGCCGACCUGAGAGGGUGACCGGCCACAUUGGGACUGAGACACGGCCCAA
rnacentral:rRNA from 1 species